GCAGGGAAAGGGGAGCGUGUGGAAGACCGCUUUCUGCCAGGGCACCCAAUCCGUUGCCCACGAUGCUGCACAAAUCUAACAGUUUCACAGCUCUCAUUUGGAAGUACCAUUUGGACAUGAGUAGCAAAACAUUGCCAGGGAACGCGACUUCUCUCGGACCGAAGCAGUUCUCAAAGUGGAGCUGUUCAGACGUGCUGUGAAGCCUUUAGUUUGCAGUAAGUGAAGAGACAACACAGAAGCAGCGCCCGGUGCCAGAUUUUGCAACUUCUCACAGAAAGUGGCGGGAAAACAAUAGCAAAGUCAGUCCCCAAGAAUCCCUUUGCUGAAGAGAUCUGAAACCAGAGAGCGGGUCCGGGCCAAAGCAGUGGUGAAACAUAAUGAGAGGAAGUGGGAAGCUCCCAAAAGGAACAGAUGAAUUCAACUGGUUUAGAAUUUUAGGUGUGCUUAACAAUCUUAGAGUUCAGACAGAAAAACGUCACUUAUGUACUUCCCCCCCACCAAGCCUGAGCUUGGUCAAACUGAGACGACAGAUGAUGCAAACACCUCUUCAGUUCUCCGUGGCUCC